rnacentral:rRNA from 1 species
UACGAACCGUGCGAACGUUGUUCGGAAUUACUGGGCGUAAAGCGCACGUAGGCGGACUAUUAAGUCAGGGGUGAAAUCCCGGGGCUCAACCCCGGAACUGCCUUUGAUACUGGUAGUCUCGAGUCCGGAAGAGGUGAGUGGAAUUCCGAGUGUAGAGGUGAAAUUCGUAGAUAUUCGGAGGAACACCAGUGGCGAAGGCGGCUCACUGGUCCGGUACUGACGCUGAGGCACGAAAGCGUGGGGAGCAAACAGG